CUUAAAAUCAAUUUUUUUUUAACUUACACAUGCAAGUAUCCGCACCCCUGUGAGAACGCCCUUAAACCCCUGAAGGGACAAGGAGCUGGUAUCAGGCACAAUUUUUAGCCCAAGACACCUAGCCAUGCCACACCCACAAGGGAACUCAGCAGUGAUUAACAUUGAAUUAUAAGCGACAGCUUGAUUCAGUUAAAAAAAGAAGAGCCGGCUAAUCUGGUGCCAGCCGCCGCGGUUACACCAUGUGGCUCAAAUUGACUUUGAUCGGCGUAAAGCGUGAUUUAAGAGACCUAUCCUUGGUGCCAAAAAGACACUAAGCCGUGACACGCUUGUAGUCGAGAAGACCUAAGACGAAAGAUACACCAAUUAAACCAACUUGA
rnacentral:rRNA from 1 species